GCACGUAGACGUAUAUAUGGAUCAGCACUUGGGAAUGUACUGAGUAUAAGGGGGUGUAUGCAUUUAAAUAAACAUUAUCAUUACUCUUUAUAAAAUCAUUCAUGAAUAUAUGAAUGACUUACAUGGCUUGAAUAAAUCUGAAAUAUAAUUCUCAUAAAUCAUGAAUAGUGAAGCAUGAAAUACAAAUCUCGUGAGUCAUUAUACUUAACUUCAAAAAUCUCUACUCUCCUUCAAUUCUCAAUACAUGACG
rnacentral:lncRNA from 1 species